AUAACGAAGCUGAAAAUAGAUAGCAAUCCUUUUGCCAAAGGAUUCUGGGAUUCCUCCAGGCUCACUGACCUUGAGAGGGAAAGUGUGGAGAGCCUGAUUCAAAAGCAUUCCAAUGCACCUUCACCCAUCCGUACCUAUGGAGGAGAAGAAGAUGUCUUGGGGGAUGAGAGUCAGACAACCCCAAAUCGAGGGUCAGCCUUUACAACAUCUGAUAAUUUGUCUCUCAGCUCCUGGGUAUCAUCUUCUUCCAGUUUUCCUGGGUUUCAGCACCCACAGUCCCUGACUGCUCUUGGCACCAGCACAGCAUCCAUAGCAACACCCAUUCCUCACCCCAUCCAGGGUUCUCUGCCGCCAUAUAGCCGACUGGGAAUGCCUUUGACCCCAUCGGCCAUUGCCAGCUCCAUGCAAGGGAGUGGCCCCACAUUCCCUUCAUUCCACAUGCCGCGAUACCAUCACUAUUUUCAGCAGGGGCCCUAUGCUGCCAUUCAAGGACUACGCCAUUCCUCUGCUGUGAUGAUGCCAUUUGUAUGACUCUUCUAAAAUAGGGAGAAUCCAGAUCCAGAAUGUGCAAGUGGGUAUGGAAAUAUAGGACAGGGCUGGGUGGGUGGGAUGUGGGGUAUUGGAGUAGGGGCUUUCCAGGAGACACAGGACCUAUCAAAGAGGAGAGCCGGACUCACAAUAAAACCUACCACUGAGGGAAUGCACCACGGACCAGGAUUCAUCUGAGGGACAGCUCCUGGGUUCAGGAGAGAAUCCAUGUAAAGUUCUCAGCCAGCCUGAAAGUUUACUAAUACAAGGCUGAUGAAUCUUAAAGUGCAUUAUUCCUCAUGGUUAAAACGCUGUGUUGAUGCAGUAAAAGAUAAAAGAAUCUUCAAAGAGGCCAUACUAUAUAGCAUACUGAUCAUAAUGACUAACUGAAGUCAAUUUAUCCCUGUAGAAAAUGGGAGCCAGUAGAGAAAUAUUUGUAGUGCUGUAGCAUAAGCAUGUUUAGUUUUCUUUUGUGUUAUUCUGCUGGGGAAGGAGCUGAGAUAAUGCUAAUGCAUCCUGUUUUGUGGAUGAAUACAUGGUAAUGACCUCACAAAGUUCUAUUUGUAAUAUUGAAGGGCCAGUAACCAACAAGCUCAGUUUUCACAGUCUUCUUUCUUCCCAGUUCUCUUUAUUGCAAAUACUUGCCAGAGUUAGGGUUGGGGCUAGAGUUAUGGAGGAAAAAUCCUCCAUAUACAGUUUUGAAGCAAGAGCCUCUCUAUAUUACAUGGUGAAACUGAAGUUUGAUUUUUCUGGGCUGCAUUCUAAACACACUACUGACUAAUUCACUGAGGAACACUCCAAAGCCUAGGCAUGAUGUUCUGUGAGGCUUGCUUUCACUUACAGCUGCAACAGAAGGAUGGUUGUUCUAUUCCAGAAGGAUUUCUCUGCUGUUGGUGCCAGAGAUCCCUUCAUUUUCACUUCAGUUUUGGAAGACCUUGUGGAUGUUAAAAUGCAUCUGGACAAAUUCUCAUUUUCAGUAAAUCUGCCUUGUGGUUGCUGCCGCUGAUUGACAAGGAUUUGAGAAUGACCAUUCUAAAUGCCAGGAUAGCCAUGAUUUAACUUAUGUUCCUGAGUGGAAAUGUGUCCAUACAUCUAAUUUGGCCUUUUUCCUUACUGUGUUACAUUUAGUGACUCCUUUACCAUUUUGCUAGGUCUGUAAUCUUAAAUUGCUUGAUAACGUGAUGGCUCCAUAACUGAAAUGUUGGCAAUUCUUAUAAGCAAUCUAAAGCAUUCUUCCACUUUAUUUUCAACUUUUGCUAUCUUCUUAAGCCUUCCUUUAAUGUUUAUAAUAGUAACAAAUAUUUUAGUUAUAUAUGACCUGUAUAUUGUUUUUGAACAGCAUAUAUAUAUAUAUAAAAGCAUUUACAGUCAGGGUAACACAUUUGGCAUUUUGCAACAAUUUAUUUCCCUAAUAACAUAGAUUUAAUGAAAUUAAUAGUUUUUCAACUUUAGAUUUAAUGCACUUCAACUACAGGAUGUAACCUGUCGUCUUAGCAAAUUUCUCCAAAACUCUAAUUUAAUUUUUGUAUGUAAUAUUCAUUCUACUCUUCUUGCUACAAAAGUAUUGAAUCUGUUAAAAGGGAUGGGAAAUAUUUCUACUGACAGUAGAAGUGUAUUUGGGGGGAAAUGCAAUAUACUUAUCACAUCAGACUCCCGUGGGAUUUUAUUUGGUGGUUUUAAUGUUAGCCUUUUUCAUAUCACAUGCCUUUCUGGGCACUUCCAGCCUGUGAAACAAGGCAUCAUGGCACAGCCUGUCUAGGUGAUGCUGUUGUUGGAUUUUGCACUUGUUAUUCUCCACUGUACUCCAAAGUUUACUUACAGAAAAGCAUGGGCUGCGUUAACAAAGCAUCUCACGAUCCUACAGCAAACACUGUGGGCCAAUUUUUAACUUGUUGCAUGUUAUGCUGUAGUACCCACAUGUAGUUUGUUUUCAAACAAAGUACAGGUGUGCAUUUCUUUAAAAAAGCAGUUAUGAGUAAUGUUUAAACUAUCCAUAGAGCUAGGAUAGGGGUUUACUGUUUAAUAGCUGGCCUGUUGCCAGUGCUCCUUUGAAUAUAGAGUACUGCUGCUUAAAGCAGGAAUAACAAAAGAUGCUGUUUUACAUAAUGCUACUCAAUACCCUGAUAAAUUACUGGUCUACUAAGGUGAAUCUGUAUCUGAAUUUUAUUUUCAAAGAAGAUGAAAAGAUUGUUUUAAUACAUACUGUUUUGACAUUUCUACCAA
ensembl:lncRNA novel transcript